UACGGGGGGGGCAAGCGUUGUUCGGAAUUACUGGGCGUAAAGGGCUCGUAGGUGGCCAAAUAAGUCAGACGUGAAAUCCCUCGGCUUAACCGGGGAACUGCGUCUGAUACUGGAUGGCUUGAGUUCGGGAGAGGGAUGCGGAAUUCCAGGUGUAGCGGUGAAAUGCGUAGAUAUCUGGAGGAACACCGGUGGCGAAGGCGGCAUCCUGGACCGACACUGACACUGAGGAGCGAAAGCCAGGGGAGCAAACGGG
rnacentral:rRNA from 1 species